rnacentral:rRNA from 1 species
UACGGAGGGUGCAAGCGUUGUCCGGAAUCACUGGGCGUAAAGGGCGCGUAGGCGGCGGGGUAAGUCGGGUGUGAAAUCUCAGAGCUCAACUCUGAAACUGCACUCGAUACUGCUCUGCUUGAGGACUGGAGAGGAGACUGGAAUUCACGGUGUAGCAGUGAAAUGCGUAGAUAUCGUGAGGAAGACCAGUGGCGAAGGCGGGUCUCUGGACAGUUCCUGACGCUGAGGCGCGAAGGCCAGGGGAGCAAACGGG